UACGUAGGGUCCAAGCGUUAAUCGGAAUUACUGGGCGUAAAGCGUGCGCAGGCGGUUCUGAAAGUCAGCUGUGAAAGCCCCGGGCUUAACCUGGGAAUUGCGGUUGAAACUACAGGGCUAGAAUCUGGCAGAGGGGGGUGGAAUUCCACGUGUAGCAGUGAAAUGCGUAGAGAUGUGGAGGAACACCGAUGGCGAAGGCAGCCCCCUGGGCUGAGAUUGACGCUCAGGCACGAAAGCGUGGGUAGCAAACAGG
rnacentral:rRNA from 1 species